AGAAACUUAGGAUCCGACCCUACUAAACCAGGGACCUUCAAAGUCCCAAACAAGAGAUAAAACCUCUUAGUUUCUG
rnacentral:tRNA from 2 species